rnacentral:lncRNA from 1 species
ACCCUUGAGUUUUUUGAGCACAUGUUCCAUAUCUACAUGUUUUGUUUUAAAAUGGUUCUAAGGUUUUGUGGUCAAAUGAAGAUACUUUUUAAAGUCAAUAAAAAGGUAUAAAACAAUACACUGUCAAUAUGGAUAGCACAGAAAGAUAUUAAGAAAGAAGUUUAAAACACUUAGAAUUUCCAUUCUAAAGAUGACAUUUUGCUCUCAGUCCAGACUUCUGUGCUUAUAUUUAAUAUUUAUGUAUGGGUGUGUGUGUGUGUUUUAAAGUGUGAUCGUACUCCACUUACUGUUAUUUAACCUACUCUGCUCACUUAAAAAUGUAUUCGUUAUUCCAGGUCAAAGAAAUGGCAGAUGUCCUUAACCCAUUAAUCACUGCAGUAUUUCUAGAGGCAUCAAACAGUGCCUCCUACAUCCAGGACGCCUUUCAGCUACUCUUACCUGUGCUAGAGAUCUCUCUCAUUGAGAACAAGAUUGAAUCACACAGACAUGAGCUGCAGGGCCAGAAACCUUUGUUAGAACAUUGAAGAAUGGAGACGUUUUGACCUGGGACUUGUGACGGCCAAGGAAUGCCACCUUAUUCUGGCUACUCCUGCAGAAAUGAAGGAGUGGGGUUAUUUUAGUAUAUAAAAAUUCAGGCAGGAGAGAUGGUUUAAAGAGGAAGAUUGUUGCCUUCAGUGUUUGAUUGAAGUAUUCAGGUUCUCACAGUAUUCUUUCCAGUUGUUGUAAUUCAUAAAUUAUUUGAAAAGAAACUUUUGUAGAAAGUCCAAGAAUAAUAACUCUAGAUAA